UCAGCAGCCGCGGUAAUACAGGGGGCGCGAGCGUUGCUCGGAAUCACUGGGCGUAAAGCGUACGCAGGCGGACCGUUAAGUCGGGUGUGAAAUCCCAGGGCUCAACCCUGGACGUGCAUUCGAUACUGGCGGUCUCGAGUACGGGAGAGGUGAGUGGAAUUCCUGGUGUAGAGGUGAAAUUCGUAGAUAUCAGGAGGAACACCGGUGGCGAAAGCGGCUCACUGGCCCGAUACUGACGCUCAUGUACGAAAGCGUGGGGAGCAAACAGGAUUAGAUACCCUGGUAGUCCACGCCGUAAACGAUGAGUGCUAGCUGCUGGGAAUCCUUUUCUUUUCUCAGUGGCGUAGCUAACGCGUUAAGCACUCCGCCUGGGAAGUACGGUCGCAAGACUAAAACUUAAAGGAAUUGGCGGGGGA
rnacentral:rRNA from 1 species